CCUACGGGGGGCAGCAGUCGAGAAUCAUUCACAAUGGGGGAAACCCUGAUGGUGCGACGCCGCGUGGGGGAAUGAAGGUCUUCGGAUUGUAAACCCCUGUCAUGUGGGAGCAAAUUAAAAAGAUAGUACCACAAGAGGAAGAGACGGCUAACUCUGUGCCAGCAGCCGCGGUAAUACAGAGGUCUCAAGCGUUGUUCGGAAUCACUGGGCGUAAAGGGUGCGUAGGCUGUUUCGUAAGUCGUGUGUGAAAGGCGCGGGCUCAACCCGCGGACGGCACAUGAUACUGGGAGACUAGAGUAAUGGAGGGGGAACCGGAAUUCUCGGUGUAGCAGUGAAAUGCGUAGAUAUCGAGAGGAACACUCGUGGCGAAGGCGGGUUCCUGGACAUUAACUGACGCUGAGGCACGAAGGCCAGGGGAGCGAAAGGGAUUAGAUACCCUAGUAGUC
rnacentral:rRNA from 1 species